rnacentral:rRNA from 1 species
AGUGAACGCUGGCGGUAGGCCUAACACAUGCAAGUCGAACGGCAGCACAGUAAGAGCUUGCUCUUACGGGUGGCGAGUGGCGGACGGGUGAGGAAUACAUCGGAAUCUACUUUUUCGUGGGGGAUAACGUAGGGAAACUUACGCUAAUACCGCAUACGACCUACGGGUGAAAGCAGGGGAUCUUCGGACCUUGCGCGAUUGAAUGAGCCGAUGUCGGAUUAGCUAGUUGGCGGGGUAAAGGCCCACCAAGGCGACGAUCCGUAGCUGGUCUGAGAGGAUGAUCAGCCACACUGGAACUGAGACACGGUCCAGACUCCUACGGGAGGCAGCAGUGGGGAAUAUUGGACAAUGGGCGCAAGCCUGAUCCAGCCAUACCGCGUGGGUGAAGGAGGCCUUCGGGUUGUAAAGCCCUUUUGUUGGGAAAGAAAAGCAGCAGGUUAAUACCCCGCUGUUCGGACGGUACCCAAAGAAUAAGCACCGGCUAACUUCGU